GUCCGCCUGGCGGAGUUCGGAACCGUCUACCGCUACGAGCAGUCGGGCGAGCUGCACGGGCUGACGCGCGUGCGCGGGUUCACGCAGGACGACGC
rnacentral:tRNA from 1 species